GGAUAGCUCAGUUGGUUAGAGCAUGGUGCUGAUAAUGGCAAGAUUGCAGGUUCAAUCCCAGUAUGAGGCA